rnacentral:tRNA from 1 species
AGGCUUGUAGCUCAGCUGGUUAGAGCGCACCCCCGAUAAGGGUGAGGUCGGCAGUUCAAGUCUGCCCAAGCCUACCA